rnacentral:lncRNA from 10 species
AACCAUCUAAUGUGAUGGUUGUUAUAGAAACCAAGUUAUAAGUAGAGGAAUAAAGAAGUAUUAAUAAUGGUGGUCAUUGGCACUGUGGGAAAGCUAAGCAUUUGCAAGGUAGAUUGUGAACCAAGCCACAUUUCUGAUGUUUCCAAAUUACUGGCUUAAAAAAUUAAUUGUUGGAGAAUAAUCAAUGUAUGAGUUACGAGUGAUGUGAAGUAUUCCAUAUUAAAAGGAAGGCAUGGGUGGGAGGUUGGAUUUGCUAUCUUUUCAAAGCAGUUGGUGACUUUGUCAUUUAUUAAUCUUAUUAGAAACAUUUCUUUUCUGGAGUUUAAUUAGAAGAAAAUACAUGAUGUUAAAACAUACUCUACUAAAUGCUGAGGGCCGGGCACGGUGGCUUACACCUAUAAUCCCAGCACUUUGGGAGACCGAGGCAGACGGAUCACUUGAGGUCAGGAGUUUGAAGCCAGCCUGGCCAACAUGGUGAAACCCUGUCUCUACUGAAAAUAGAAAAAAUUAGCUGGGCGUGGUGGCGUGCAUCUGUAGUCCCAGCUGCUUGGGAGGCUGAGGCAGG